ACUAAGGAGAUGUGUAUUGCGUCAUACCUUGUGGCUAAGCGGAUUUGCUCUUUUCUUUCAGUAGGGCGUCUGUCAGGCUGGUUGUUCGUUGCGCUUUAAAUGUUCAACCUGUCUUAUUACUGUUAGAGCAGGUAUCUCCCCUAUAUCUUAUGAGCUGUCCGUUCCAGUGUCCCUCACGGGGUCAGGCCUCCCUAGGAUUCUCCCUUCCGCGACCAUAGAAGGC
rnacentral:lncRNA from 1 species